UACGUAGGUGACAAGCGUUGUCCGGAUUUACUGGGCGUAAAGAGCGCGCAGGCGGUCGUUCAAGUCGAGUGUGAAAGCCCCCGGCUCAACUGGGGAGGGUCACUCGAUACUGAUCGACUCGAAGGCAGGAGAGGGAAGUGGAAUUCCCGGUGUAGUGGUGAAAUUCGUAGAUAUCGGGAGGAACACCGGUGGCGAAGGCGGCGACCUGGGUAGAUACUGACGCUGAGGUGCGAAAGCGUGGGGAGCAAACAGG
rnacentral:rRNA from 1 species